rnacentral:misc_RNA from 1 species
GAUGAAGAACGUAGCGAAAUGCGAUAAGUAAUGUGAAUUGCAGAAUUCAGUGAAUCAUCGAAUCUUUGAACGCACAUUGCGCCAGCUAGUAGUCUGGCGGGCAUGCCUGUCCGAGCGUCAUUUCAACCCUCAAGCCCCCGGGCUUGGUGUUGGGGAUCGGCGAGCCUCCGCGCCCGCCGUCCCCUAAAUCUAGUGGCGGUCUCGCUGUAGCUUCCUCUGCGUAGUAGCACACCUCGCACUGGGAAACAGCGCGGCCACGCCGUUAAACCCCCAACUUCUGAACGUUUGACCUCGGAUCAGGUAGGAAUACCCGCUGAACUUAAGCAUAUCAUAAGCGGAGGA